UCAAAACUCCUGUUUUAACGGUGUUGUCUGAGCUACAAGCAACGAAUCAAAACUUUCAACAACGGAUCUCUUGGUUCUGGCAUCGAUGAAGAACGCAGCGAAAUGCGAUAAGUAGUGUGAAUUGCAGAAUUCAGUGAAUCAUCGAAUCUUUGAACGCACAUUGCGCCCCUUGGUAUCCCGAGGGGCAUGCCUGUUCGAGCGUCAUUUCACCACUCAAGCCUGGCUUGGUGUUAGGCGACGUCCCCUUUGGGGACGCGCCUCGAAACGCUCGGCGGCGUGGCACCGGCUUUAAGCGUAGCAGAAUCUUUCGCUUUGAAAGUCGGGGCCCCGUCUGCCGGAAGACCUACUCGCAAGGUUGACCUCGGAUCAGGCAGGGAUACCCGCUGAACUUAAGCAUAUCAA
rnacentral:rRNA from 1 species